CAUUCCUUUCGUCCUCUCCUGAACAAGCCUCUUCCUCCACUUCAGUUGCCACAACCAUACAUGGGCAGUCUAUAACAGUUAUGUGUGGCGUAUUCUUGGACACUUAAAUAAAAGAUUUUCAGGUAUGUGUUUGGAUUUUGUUAAAAUUUCUUUUGCUUUUUAAUGCUUUUACUGUUUUCUUUAUUUGUUUUAUAUAAUUCAGAUCGAUCUGUUCUCUUUUCCCUGUGUUCUUCAAGUGAAUGCUCUUACUGGGUAUUAAUUAUAUGGUUAUAAAAUUUUUAGCGGCUUAAAUAAAAGGGAAUUUUGUUUUUUAUGUUUUGUAUCAAUUCUUUGUUUGUUCAUUGAUUUUGGGCGUAUUAUAAAUCAGAUAAUUUUUCCCAAUCUGAUGAACUCUUAAGUUAUCGCAAAUAGCUAUCUUUGUCUUGCUUUCUUGGUUGAUUUAUGAUAAAGAUAGGGGAAAUGCUCAGAAGUAGAGAAUUAAUGUUCUUAUAGUGCUGACUUGCUCUUCCCUAAGCCGUUUGGUAGGCUUCUACCCCAAAGUAAAGUGGUCUUUUUUCAAGGCUCUAAGCUCAAGACCCGUGCCUGGCUCGGGGAAUAUCUAGUUUGCAAUGGAGCUACAAGCAAUCAACAUGACAACAGUGAAGGCAAACAAGACACAGACCAUGAAACAAAUGUAAGCUUGUCUUCGAUGUACUUCAAACAUGUCCGGUUUCGUCAUCAUCUCUUCCUGCUCCUUCCGAUCUUCGAUUUGAAAUUUGUGAUGUUUAAUUAAGAACAUUUUGUAGAACAAAGUUUCUUUAUCUAGCAAGUUCAACUCGUAGUAAUAUUUCAUUCUCGACCA